rnacentral:lncRNA from 1 species
AUGUUCUUAAAACACAGUCAUGACCCCACAAGUAGUGAAAGUGAAGAGUGGAACCUCAGGUCUGGUAUAUGUGCAUCAGACUAUUCCGUUUCUACCAUCUCAAUUACAAGCAAUUCUCCAUCAUCCAGCCCUUGUCCCACAGGAAGUCAUUUUAGCCUGUUCGAUGAGAUGUCUGCCCAAGGCUCACCUGCCAUCAUCAGUACGGUAGCAGCAUCUUCAAAAAGUGUCUUGGAUGGCAAUCGACAGAGGCAGUUGUGGAAACGUGCUAUAUUGCGUGUUCGUAUUGUGGUGAUGCUGCUUCGGGGGGGAUUAAAACUGAAAAAAGACACACCGUUUCAAGAAUGCAGGGCAGUGGAGAACAUUUGCUGCUCUGAAACCAAUUUGAUUUCAGAGGAUAGCCCUCACGAUAGCUCCAACGACAGUUUUGAUCAAAAACGGAAUAAGUUUGAGAAAUAUGUAAAAGUGAGAGAAUCUAUUAACAAGCAACCAAACCCCCUUAUGUUUAUUCAGUCUCAGUUUAUUCAGUCACCUGUUGGUCAGGCUGAAAAAGACCUGAAACAUGAAAGUGAAGAGAACAUAACGGCAGCCAAGACUGAUGGAGCACUUGCUGUUGCACAUCUUGGUAAGGAGGCGACAGAUGCCCUGAAACAGUCUUUGAAACACAAUAUGGGGAGAGUUCAAAUUGAAAAUGUGGUUCCACUGACAAGUCACAGCCAGGAUUCUUAUGACAAUGGAACACAUCAACCAAUUUUCUCUGAGCUGAUAGAGGCUCUUGAACCUCAAAUUGAUAAAAAACUGGUGCAACAUCGGUGGGCACCUCCUAAGCCAAUCACUUGGUCUCUAAAAUCAUUCAUGGAGCACCAGUCCACUAACUCUCACGGUUAUGGAACUAAAGAAAAUAUCACUGCCAGAAGACCACAUUUUUGCCUGAGAUUGGAAAUGGCUAAUCUAAAAGACAACAGCUCUCAAGAGGACUCUCAAAACCCCAAUAGUCCAGUAAAGGGAAGAGGAGCUCGCAAGGACAUGGUUUAUGGGAUGAUCACUCUGGGAGACAUUAGUGUGGAGAUGACAGACAAGAAGAUAUCAUUGAGUCAACAACAAAUAUCAUCUGCAGGGUUGGUGGAGGUACUCACACCAGCUCUCAAAAGCCCUGUGAAGAGUGCCAGUGAACCAGAUGUGACCAUACUCUCCUGCAGAAAAGCAAAAGCACAAGGGUUCAACAAGGUAGCUCUUGACCCGAUAGACCUGAACCUGAAACAGGAGCAUUGCGAGCAAAGCAUGAAAACACCCACAGUGCGUCACAAAUCCUUACAGAUGUUGAGGGCGAAUGUCCCUGGUCAGCCACCAUCCAAGAAAUGUUUAGAAGAAGCCAGGGCUCUGAUUCUCAGAAAAAGGAUGAGAAACAAGCUGGAGUUCAAUAUCAAACAGAAGGUGCUGUACCAGCUGUGGGGGCUUCCUUUGGUGGUACAGACAUCUUUGGAUACCACCAUGAGAACAUCACCUAUCAGGAAAGAUUCCAAAAUGCUUCUGAAGUCGAGUGAAGAAGAAAUGGAAAGGACACCUCGUAUGGAAAGGUCAUCACUCAAGAAGUGGAAGUUCCCAAAACGCAUUGUAAAGUCAAUUAAAACAUUUGAGAUGCCUAAGGCUAUGGGCCUCAAAAACCUCUCCCUUAGUAAUGAAAAUUAG